ACAAUUGGAAGAGUUCUCAUUUCUUUCCAACUUGGUGCAUUUGUCCCUGGAUAUCCUGUCCAUCCAGUGAUUGUUCGCUAUCCCCAUGUACACUUUGACCAAUUCUGGGGCAAUAUAGCUUUGGGAAAGCUUAUGUUUAAAACAUUCAUAGUUUCACAAUUUCAUGGAGGACAACAUAUCUCUAGUCUGCUCUUGGAUUGAAUCCUGGAUGGCUGAGUCUUGAUUGGUUACAUAAGUGUACAAACAUCUCAUUCCUAUGGGGAUAUCAUGCUGCUUGCAAAAACUUUUGCGUCCAAACAGAACUUGAACUUUGUUCGUUUAGCUCAACAAUCUAAAUUUUGCGAGCACCAAGCAAAGUGUACUCAAGGCUCCAGCUGCCUGGUUCUUUUAACAGUUGUAACCUUGAGGUAUGGUGAAUCUUGCCUAGACAUGAGCUUUUUGUGUGGUUAAUUUCUAACAGCCUUCAUUUCUCCGUUGUAUGUUUGAUUUUGCCAUAUAUGCCUUGCUCCUUCCAGGGAGUAUAUACGUUGUUUGGCAACAUUGUGUUUGUUCAGAGUGUUUAUUGCCUAGCCUUAGAAAACUGUCCAGGAACUUUCCCGGAUGCAACUUUAGCUUCAUUGGUUUCUUUAAUAUUUUUUCAUAUGUACUUGGAAUACUUUUUGUAAAUUUUUCAUCUUGUCUACUAACUUCUAAACAAGCCUUUUUCUCAUAAAUAAUAAUGCUACAUUAUUUAAAGAGCCAUGCUAAUGACAGCCCAAUGGGCUGCCAAUAAGGGGAAGAAAACGCCAAAAAACUCUCAAUGUAUUUUUUACACAUCCCAAAGCAUUUUCACAAAUUUGGACACACUUUUUACACGUCCCCUGGUACUGUUGACAGCCCAAAGGCUGUCUUUAGCAUUUUUCCUUAUUUAAAUUAUGCAAAUGUAUUCCAUGUCCAAGAGAUAUGCUGGAAGACUCAUAGGAAUGAUGGAAACAACCAGUAGAAUACUGCAUGUUUUAAAAAAAUAAGUUGCAUCUCUCUCUCUCUCUC